rnacentral:rRNA from 1 species
UACGUAGGGUGCGAGCGUUGUCCGGAAUUAUUGGGCGUAAAGAGCUCGUAGGCGGUGUGUCACGUCGGCCGUGAAAACCUGCAGCUUAACUGUGGGCGUGCGGUCGAUACGGGCAUCACUGGAGUUCGGCAGGGGAGACUGGAAUUCCUGGUGUAGCGGCGAAAUGCGCAGAUAUCAGGAGGAACACCGGUGGCGAAGGCGGGUCUCUGGGCCGAUACUGACGCUGAGGAGCGAAAGCGUGGGGAGCAAACAGG